GACGAACGCUGGCGGCGUGCCUAAUACAUGCAAGUCGAACGCAGUGGGGACGGGUGAGUAACACGUGGGUAACCUCCCAUCAGAGGGGAUAACACUUGGCAACAGGUGCUAAACCGAUACUGAUGGAUGGACCCGCGGUGCAUUAGCUAGUUGGUGAGGUAACGGCUCACCAAGGCCACGAUGCCUAGCCGAGCUGAGAGGGUGAUCGGCCACACUGGGACUGAGACACGGCCCAGACUCCUACGGGAGGCAGCAGUAGGGAAUCUUCGGCAAUGGACGAAAGCCUGACCGAGCAACGCCGCGUGAGUGAAGAAGGUUGUCGGAUCGUAAAACACUGUUGUUAGAGAAGCGGUAUCUAACCAGAAAGCAACGGCUAACUAGGUGCCAGCAGCCGCGGUAAUUC
rnacentral:rRNA from 1 species